AGGCAAAUCCGGAAAAUCAAGGCUGAGGCGUGAUGACGAGGCACUACGGUGCUGAAGCAACAAAUGCCCUGCUUCCAGGAAAAGCCUCUAAGCAUCAGGUAACAUCAAAUCGUACCCCAAACCGACACAGGUGGUCAGGUAGAGAAUACCAAGGCGCUUGAGAGAACUCGGGUGAAGGAACUAGGCAAAAUGGUGCCGUAACUUCGGGAGAAGGCACGCUGAUAUGUAGGUGAAGUCCCUCGCGGAUGGAGCUGAAAUCAGUCGAAGAUACCAGCUGGCUGCAACUGUUUAUUAAAAACACAGCACUGUGCAAACACGAAAGUGGACGUAUACGGUGUGACGCCUGCCCGGUGCCGGAAGGUUAAUUGAUGGGGUCAGCGCAAGCGAAGCUCUUGAUCGAAGCCCCGGUAAACGGCGGCCGUAACUAUAACGGUCCUAAGGUAGCGAAAUUCCUUGUCGGGUAAGUUCCGACCUGCACGAAUGGCGUAAUGAUGGCCAGGCUGUCUCCACCCGAGACUCAGUGAAAUUGAACUCGCUGUGAAGAUGCAGUGUACCCGCGGCAAGACGGAAAGACCCCGUGAACCUUUACUAUAGCUUGACACUGAACAUUGAGCCUUGAUGUGUAGGAUAGGUGGGAGGCUUUGAAGUGUGGACGCCAGUCUGCAUGGAGCCGACCUUGAAAUACCACCCUUUAAUGUUUGAUGUUCUAACGUGGACCCGUGAUCCGGGUUGCGGACAGUGUCUGGUGGGUAGUUUGACUGGGGCGGUCUCCUCCUAAAGAGUAACGGAGGAGCACGAAGGUUGGCUAAUCCUGGUCGGACAUCAGGAGGUUAGUGCAAUGGCAUAAGCCAGCUUGACUGCGAGCGUGACGGCGCGAGCAGGUGCGAAAGCAGGUCAUAGUGAUCCGGUGGUUCUGAAUGGAAGGGCCAUCGCUCAACGGAUAAAAGGUACUCCGGGGAUAACAGGCUGAUACCGCCCAAGAGUUCAUAUCGACGGCGGUGUUUGGCACCUCGAUGUCGGCUCAUCACAUCCUGGGGCUGAAGUAGGUCCCAAGGGUAUGGCUGUUCGCCAUUUAAAGUGGUACGCGAGCUGGGUUUAGAACGUCGUGAGACAGUUCGGUCCCUAUCUGCCGUGGGCGCUGGAGAACUGAGGGGGGCUGCUCCUAGUACGAGAGGACCGGAGUGGACGCAUCACUGGUGUUCGGGUUGUCAUGCCAAUGGCACUGCCCGGUAGCUAAAUGCGGAAGAGAUAAGUGCUGAAAGCAUCUAAGCACGAAACUUGCCCCGAGAUGAGUUCUCCCUGACCCUUUAAGGGUCCUGAAGGAACGUUGAAGACGACGACGUUGAUAGGCCGGGUGUGUAAGCGCAGCGAUGCGUUGAGCUAACCGGUACUAAUGAACCGUGAGGCUUAACCUUACAACGCCGAAGGUGUUU
rnacentral:rRNA from 1 species